rnacentral:rRNA from 1 species
GAGUUUGAUCCUGGCUCAGAACGAACGCUGGCGGCGUGCUUAACACAUGCAAGUCAGGGAGAAAGUCUCUUCGGGGAUGAUUAAACCGGCGCACGGGUGAGUAACACGUGAGUGACCUGCCUUUUAGACUGGAACAACUUACCGAAAGGUGAGCUAAUGCCGGAUGAGUUAUAUAAGUGCAUGUUUAUAUAGGAAAAGUUGGGGAGACCUGACGCUGAAAGAUGGACUCGCGUCCCAUUAGCUAGUUGGUAGGGUAAUGGCCUACCAAGGCGACGAUGGGUAGCCGGCCUGAGAGGGUGGCCGGCCACACUGGGACUGAGACACGGCCCAGACUCCUACGGGAGGCAGCAGUGGGGAAUUUUGCGCAAUGCUCGUAAGAGCGACGCAGCGACGCCGCGUGAAUGACGAAGGCCUUCGGGUCGUAAAGUUCUUUCGACAGGGAAGAAAAUGCCUAUAAGUAACUGUGUAUGUAUUGACGGUACCUGUAUAAGCAGCCCCGGCUAACUCCGUGCCAGCAGCCGCGGUAAUACGGAGGGGGCGAGCGUUGUUCGGAGUGACUGGGCGUAAAGAGCACGUAGGCGGUGUUGUAAGUCAUUAGUCAAAGACUAGAGCUCAACUUUAGUAAGGCUAGUGAUACUAUAAUACUAGAGUAUC